GAUGUCUGAGACAAAGCCAACAUCCUUGUCUGGUUUGUAAUGAAUGUUCUCAACUUGUUAUUGCUAACAGAUUUUUUAAAAAUACUGCAAAAAAGGUGCUUUGUUGCAUCAGGGAAAUCCAAAGCCCUCAGGCAAGAAGAAAAUUGAAGUUGAUGGAACAUCUUACACCCUGGGAAACUACUAACCAAACAGAAAAAUAUUGCAUACCCUCCUUCAGAAUCACCCACGGGGAGUGGUUUCCUUUGCAUGGAGAUUUGGACACAGAAUGUCUAAUUUUCAUCAUGUCUCAUGCCAAUAAACUAAAAGUCUUGAAGAAGCCGUAAUAUAUGAAGUUGAAAGAUGGGGAAAAUGAAACACAGAGAUAACAAGAGACCUGCCCCAACUCACAUAGAGCUAUGAUUUCAUCCUGAUGUGGAAAUUCCUACCAUCAAAGAAGACUGGCAAGGCAUCUGAGAUUUAUAAUCUUAGAAAGAGCAAUGGAUUUGGAGGCAGAGGGCCCGAGUUGGAACCAUAGUUGUGGCACUUACUGUGGGACCUUAAUCAAGUCACUCAACCUUUCUUGGCCUCAGUUUCUUCAUCUAUAAAAUGAAGGGGUUGAACAUGUGCUUUAUGUUUUGAAAACCUGAUUUUCCCACAAUGCUCUGGCUGGGCCCGUACCUGUAGGAGGUGGUAUCUGCCAGCCACUAGCAAGAUUACCUUGAUGACCUCAUCACCUGCUGAAUUGUCAUAGAAAAAUCUGGGGGAUGAAUAUUUGCCCAAAGAGAACACAGUAUCUUCCCAGGCCUGAGUCACACCUCAGUGUGAAUCAGGAAUUACUGCAAUUCUUUUCACAUCACAUGUUUAAACACACUGCAUAACUUUCCAAACCACUAUAUUCCAAAAUAGUUAAGCACUUUAAAAGCAAAGAAUCCCAGGCUACCAUUCAUCAUAUUUCUAAUAAGCCACCUGGCAAAAAAAAAAAAAGAGUGAAAAAAAUAUAAUGUGUUCCCAAGUAAAUGUCUGUUAUUACA